GUGUCAGCCGCCGCGGUAAAACGUAGGAGACAAGCGUUAUCCGGAUUCAUUGGGCGUAAAGGGCAUGUAGGUGGUGCCUUAAGUUGGAUGUGAAAUCUCCCGGCUUAACUGGGAGGGGUCAUCCAAAACUGGGGCUCUUGAGGGCAGGAGAGGGAAAUGGAAUUCCCGGUGUAGCGGUGGAAUGCGUAGAUAUCGGGAGGAACACCAGUGGCGAAAGCGGUUUCCUGGCCUGCAUCUGACACUGAUAUGCGAAAGCUAGGGGAGCAAACGGGAUUAGAAACCCCCGUAGUCC
rnacentral:rRNA from 1 species